UACAGAGGUGGCAAGCGUUGUUCGGAAUUACUGGGCGUAAAGGGCGCGUAGGCGGCCUUGUAAGUCCUGUGUGGAAUCCCCCGGCUCAACUGGGGAACUGCACAGGAGACUGCUUGGCUUGAGUUCGGGAGAGGGAAGCGGAAUUCCGGGUGUAGCGGUGAAAUGCGUAGAUAUCCGGAGGAACACCGGUGGCGAAGGCGGCUUCCUGGACCGACACUGACGCUGAGGCGCGAAAGCCAGGGGAGCAAACGGG
rnacentral:rRNA from 1 species